rnacentral:rRNA from 1 species
CCUACGGGAGGCAGCAGUGGGGAAUAUUGGGCAAUGGGCGCAAGCCUGACCCAGCAACGCCGCGUGAAGGAAGAAGGCCUUCGGGUUGUAAACUUCUUUUCUGAGGGACGAAGAAAGUGACGGUACCUCAGGAAUAAGCGACGGCUAACUACGUGCCAGCAGCAGCGGUAAUACGGAGGUGGCAAGCGUUAUCCGGAUUUAUUGGGUUUAAAGGGCGUGUAGGCGGGAAAGCAAGUCAGAUGUGAAACCUCAGGGCUCAACCCUGAGCCUGCAUUUGAGACUGUUUUUCUUGAGUGCCGGGGAGGCAAUCGGAAUUCCGGGUGUAGCGGUGAAAUGCGUAGAUAUACGGAAGAACACCAGUGGCGAAGGCAGAUUGCUGGACAGUAACUGACGCUGAGGCGCGAAAGCGUGGGGAGCAAACAGGAUUAGAUACCCGGGUAGUC